rnacentral:rRNA from 1 species
UACGAAGGGGGCUAGCGUUGUUCGGAUUUACUGGGCGUAAAGCGCACGUAGGCGGAUCGUUAAGUCGGGGGUGAAAUCCUGGAGCUCAACUCCAGAACUGCCUUCGAUGCUGGCGAUCGUGAGUUCGGGAGAGGUGAGUGGAACUGCGAGUGUAGAGGUGAAAUUCGUAGAUAUUCGCAAGAACACCAGUGGCGAAGGCGGCUCACUGGCCCGAUACUGACGCUGAGGCACGAAAGCGUGGGGAGCAAACAGG